rnacentral:ncRNA from 1 species
CGGCAUCAGGCACCACAACCGCCCAUGACGCCUUGCUUUGCCACACCCCCAAGGGAAUUCAGCAGUGAUAAACAUUAAACAUGAGUGAUAAGCUCGAUUUAGUUAUAGCUAACAGAGCCGGUUAAUCUCGUGCCAGCCACCGCGGUUAUACGAGAGACUCAAACUGACAACCUCCGGCGUAAAGCGUGAUUAAAGACACCACACACUAGAGUUAAACUGCAACCAAGCCGUCGCACGCUCUCGUUGCACAGAAACCCCAUUACGUAAGUAACUCUACCAAACUUGAACUCACGACCGCUAGGACACAAACUGGGAUUAGAUACCCCACUAUGCCUAGCCUUAAACUUUGUCUAAUUACAAUUUCAACCGCCUGGGAACUACGAGCCUAAGCUUAAAACCCAAAGGACUUGGCGGUGCCCCAAACCCACCUAGAGGAGCCUGUUCUAUAAUCGAUAAUCCCCGCUUUACCUCACCACUUCUAGCCAAUACCGCCUAUAUACCACCGUCGCCAGCCCACCCUGUGAGGGCUGAUUAGUAGGCUCAAUGACACCAUCAACACGUCAGGUCAAGGUGUAGCGUAUGGAGUGGGAAGAAAUGGGCUACAUUUUCUAAGUUAGAAAACAACGGAAGACCCUUAUGAAACCCGGUCUGAAGGCGGAUUUAGCAGUAAAAAGAAACAAGAGAGUUCUUUUUAAAGCGGCCCUGGGGCGCGCACACACCGCCCGUCACCCUCUUCAACUGAUCAACUUAAAAUAAUUAAGCACCCAGGAUCUCCAAAGAAGAGGCAAGUCGUAACACGGUAAGUAUACCGGAAGGUGUGCUUGGAACAA